GAUGAACGCUAGCUACAGGCUUAACACAUGCAAGUCGAGGGGCAGCAUAAAACUAGCUUGCUAGUUUUGAUGGCGACCGGCGCACGGGUGCGUAACGCGUAUCCGACCUACCCAUAACUCGGGCACAGCCGCUCGAAAGAGCGAUUGAUUCCCGAUAUGUCCUUAGCGUAGCUCUAAUGAUGAAAGAUUCAUCGGUUAUGGAUGGGGAUGCGUAAGAUUAGGUAGUAGGCGGGGUAACGGCCCACCUAGCCGACGAUCUUUAGGGGUUCUGAGAGGAAGGUCCCCCACGCUGGAACUGAGACACGGACCAGACUCCUACGGGAGGCAGCAGUGAGGAAUAUUGGUCAAUGGGCGGAAGCCUGAACCAUCCAAGUAGCGUGAAGGAUUACAGCCCUACGGGUUUUAAACUUCUUUUAUAUGAGAGUAAUGUGCACUACGUGUAGUGUAUUGCAAGUAUCAUAUGAAUAAGCGUCGGCUAACUCCGUGCCAGCAGCCGCAGUAACAC
rnacentral:rRNA from 1 species